rnacentral:misc_RNA from 1 species
AGUCACAACAAGGUUUCUGUAGGUGAACCUGCAGAAGGAUCAUUAUUGAAUUGUUAAAUGGGAGUUGCUUUCGAGCACUCCUCUACAUUCUUUAUUCCUAACACCUGUGAAUCGUUGCUGAGUUCGCUCAGUGGCACCUUUUACACACACAUAAAAGUAUAGAACGUAAAUAUAUAAAUAAAAUACAA